rnacentral:sRNA from 1 species
AUUCUGCCCAUACGGGGAGGGAUGAGAAGCUUCGUCCAAGGUGCGACUCGAACGCCAGCGAGAAAGCGUUGCCGCAGGCAACGACCCGAAGGGUGAAGCGCGCAGCGCUAGUAAUUCUUCCCCCACCACCA